rnacentral:lncRNA from 1 species
UUAAUUCAAAAGGGUGUAUUAGUAAUUUUCCAUUAUUAUCAAUUAAUUGAUUUCCAAAGAUAACUGCCAAAAACUGGCGAUGAGAUAUAUCAGGGAUUUGAUUCGAAUUCGAAUUGUUCUAUACAUUUAAUUGUUUACGGUAAAUUCUUGUUUUAGUGUUAUAUUCCCCAGUCAAUAGUGUUAUAUUAUAUACAGGCCAUCUUGAAUCUCCUUUUCAUAGUUGUUUUAUCCCUAUCAACAGUGUUUUGUUUAUGUAUAGAAAUCGAAGAAUUUAUUCUGUACGAGAAAUUCGCUGA